rnacentral:rRNA from 1 species
UUUCCUACGGGUGGCAGCAGUGGGGAAUAUUGGGCAAUGGGCGAAAGCCUGACCCAGCGACGCCGCGUGGGCGAUGAAGGCCUUCGGGUUGUAAAGCCCUGUCAUGCGGAAAGAACGACCCUGUGACGCAUACUCACAGGGAGUGACGGUACCGCAGGAGGAAGCACCGGCUAACUCCGUGCCAGCAGCCGCGGUAAUACGGAGGGUGCAAGCGUUGUUCGGAAUUAUUGGGCGUAAAGGGCGCGUAGGCGGCAGUGUAAGUCAGAUGUGAAAUACUCCGGCUUAACCAGAGAACAGCAUCUGAAACUGCACAGCUAGAGUACAGAAGAGGGAAACGGAAUUCCCGGUGUAGAGGUGAAAUUCGUAGAUAUCGGGAGGAACACCAGUGGCGAAGGCGGUUUCCUGGUCUGAUACUGACGCUGAGGCGCGAAAGCGUGGGGAGCAAACAGGAUUAGAUACCCCAGUAGUCGU